AAUGGAAAUUCAUUUGACAGUGAUGAUGAUGAUGAGAUUAAUUCAGCUUGUUGUGAUCCUCCUGGACAUCCAAGUGUUUUCGACAUUGAUGAAGAUUUUGUCAAUCUCUCUCUUGGACCAAACCAAGAAAUGAUGGUUUUAAGAAGAUUAUAGGAUAUGUCAUAGAAUACGAAGACCCCACCACUGGAGGCAGGCUAAUGACUACCCAGUAGAUGAGUGUGUUUAUGAGGUGAAGGGAUUAAAAAAGGACAAGGAAUACAACUUCCACAUACAGGCCAAGAAUCUUGAAGGUUUUUAAAUCAGUGAGUCUAGUGAUGUGAUUGGUCCCAUAACUCCCAAGCCCAAAUACACCAAGGUUUUGCCACCUGGUGUACCAGAGGCUGUCAACAAUUCUAUAACUUAUCUGAAAUGGGAACCACCUAAACAUAAUGGUGGCUGUAAAAUUACAGACUACCUUGUAGAAGAGAAGUUUAAGGGAACAGAGAAAUGAGUACCCCUGCACUGACCCCUCUUUACUGUCACCGAUCUUCCUCAGGACUCAGAGUGGGAGUUUAGAGUUACAGCUGAUAACUUUGCUUGAAACUGUGAGCCCAGUCUGUGCUCACCAGCAUACAAAAUCCAGGAGAAGAUUGGUAUGUUGUCAAGUUAAUAAAUGUAUCGUACACUAUUAUGGUACUAGAAAAAAGAUUUGGAGGUCAAAUUAAACCAUAAUGUGUAUUUUCUUCUCAAAGCCCAUAAUACUCUCACUUUACUGGUCAGGAGCUGAAAUUUAUGUGAAAGCUUCCUGAUGUAAUAAAGAUUUUAAAUUGUUCAAAAAAUGGCCUUUGAGGUAGAUGGGGCCACAAUAGGGGAUCAAAGAUUU